rnacentral:rRNA from 1 species
UGGGGAAUCUUGCGCAAUGCGCGAAAGCGUGACGCAGCAACGCCGCGUGCGGGAAGACGGCCUUCGGGUUGUAAACCGCUUUCAGUUGGGACGAAGCUUCUACGGUUAAUACCCGUAUGGAGUGACGGUACCUUCAGAAGAAGCCCCGGCUAACUACGUGCCAGCAGCCGCGGUAAUACGUAGGGGGCAAGCGUUGUCCGGAAUCAUUGGGCGUAAAGCGCGUGUAGGCGGCUGAGCAAGUCCGCUCUGAAAGCCCGAGGCUCAACCUCGGGAGGCGAGUGGAUACUGCUCAGCUCGAGUCCGGAAGAGGAGUGUGGAAUUCCUGGUGUAGCGGUGAAAUGCGCAGAUAUCAGGAGGAACACCAAUUGCGAAGGCAGCACUCUGGGACGUGACUGACGCUGAGACGCGAAAGCGUGGGGAGCAAAC